AAAUCAUCAAGUAUUAAAAAUAACCCAUCCUCAUAUUAUUGAAGGUAUUUUGGACAAAUAUGUUAUUUCAGACGUGUAUCAAUUUGGUAGCCCUUCACACAAUCGGUACACAUGAAGUUGCUCUCACCCUCAAAAAUGUUGGUGACACCUGCUCUAAAUCCUCCCAAGGUGUGAGUGUGAGCUCGGAUCUUUGUAGAAAGGAAAACUUUAAAAAACUUGACAUUGCAAAAGGGGAUGGGUUGUACACAUUUAUUAAGAACACUAACAACAACAACAACAAAAGGUGCAUUUGUUCUUCUUCUCAUUCAGCACUGAAGCGGCCUCUCAACUCUCCGUCCACAUUGACUGAACAAACAAA